GGAUUGUGGCUCAGUGGUAGAAGGCUCGCCUAGCAUGCGUGGGGCUCUGGGUUCAAUCCUCAACACCA
rnacentral:tRNA from 1 species